GCCGAGGUAGUCAAGUGGCCAAAGACGGUGGGCUCAAGAUCCACUCUCGUAGGAGUUCAGGAGUUCAAAUCUCCUCCUCGGCACCA
rnacentral:tRNA from 1 species